CUGUAUUUUUCACUUCUUCAUUUAUACUCAGCUUGUCCUGAGACACAGUGACCCAUUUUAAAUUCCGCCCACUCUGCGAAACAGUGUGAACAAAUGUUAGCGCAUAAAGCUAACGCCAGUUGUUUUGCAGGAUUUUUGGAAAGGAACCCCCACAUCUUUGCCAGUUUGUUGGGGGACCCCGAGUAAGAUGCUGCUCAUUUAAAUACAGACAGCAAACAGCUUUAUGAAAUUUUGAUGGAUGGCAGGGAUGGGUGUUGACAAAGAAAAGCAAUUUUGGAAGAAAAAUAAAAGGGGCUCUCCAAAUGUAACAACAGAAAAUUGAUGGUCAGGAUGUUUUUUUUUUUUAGACAGCUGUACUUUGCGGCUGUGGAAACGUUUACAGGAACCAUGCUCUAUUAUUAAGCAUGCAACCUGGAUCGGCCAUCUACCUGCACAGCAUGCAAAGAAAACAACACGUGAAUAAUAAGGGCCAUGGGUUCAAAGAUGCAGAAUGUAGGUCGACCAUCAGUGCUGAGUUACCGAUUAGAAACAGCUGUGUGUUCCUGAGCCGCUCUGUUGAGGCCAGCAUCCAUCUGCGGGCAAAAACGGAGCAACUUCACCCACGCUCGUGCAUUGAAUCGAUCGAAGACGGGGCAAAAAUAUUUCUCACAUGGCCCCCUUUCCUGCUGCGGCGGACAAUGGCUGUUGUGGACCAGUGAGUGUUUGAAGUAAAGUCCUGAAGGAGACAAAAAGUUCUGGAGUGCAAGUGAAGUCGUGGAAUAGUACAGCAGGAAGGGAGUGGCGUGGCGACUCUUUGCACACCCUCAGACCCUUUGACAGCCCUCCCUCCACUGCCAGCUCAGCACCGGAUAUGAGCCAAACCCUGAACCCUGCAGCUGUGGGUCUGAAAUGCCAGAUGGGCAAAAUAAUGUGCACAGACACCCAAACACACGUGUCAGGUUUUUUUUCUCAUAAAUAACAAGUAUGCGUGACAGGCUGCAAAGUGCACCAGCAAAAGCUUGCAGGCAAUCACGACGGGAAAACACGUCAUAUUGUAUGUAGUGUCUCAAGAGACGGGAGUAAUUACGGCGCCCUCACACGCGAUGUCCCCCGCCACGCCCUUUGGUCCAGAACUGUUGAAAAGACAGACUUUUCCCUAACGUACAACUCACAAUUAACCCGACUCAUGAAUUUUUUUGAAUGUACAGACUUGCAAUUUACUUGGAAAAGAUGAGUGAAUGAUGUAUUUUUAAGCAUGUGGGUUUCAACUUGUGUGUGUGCAGUUUGCCGUUUAUUUUCUUACAUUUGAUCGAAGGCAGAACCACAGGGCGGUUUGCUAGAAAUGCUUUUUCCUGUUCAUAAAUCAACUAAAUGGCUGAUAAUGAUGUCAAUCAGGGAUUU